rnacentral:misc_RNA from 1 species
GUUAUUUUCAUUAAGACGUUAUCUAGGUAAGAACAUGAAAAUAUAUUUGAAGAAUUUUUUCCAAAGUUUCAUUUUACUAACUCAGGAAACCUUUACGGUCUGUUGUCAGCUCUUGAGAUCUCAAAUGUUCUCUACAUCGUUUCAUUUUUCAUAAUUGAUAUUGUUUAGACCGUACGCACGUGUUGUUUGCAUUUAUCAACCAUGCCAAAAUAUCGUGACAUUUUGAAAAAUUUUCAAAGCAGUAAAGAAGAAUCGAAAAUCUAUAUAGCCUUACCCCUUUUAUAAUUUAUCAUAUUAACUACCAUUUUAAUCACCACUAACAACUCACGUCUGCUCGAGUUAUGUCAGUUACGGCUGUUGGCAAUUCAUUUUGAUAAGGUUAUUGGCGACUUGGAGUGUUUCUUCACUCCCUGUGACUCUUUGUUAGUUAUCUCACUCGAGUCAAAUAGGUUUCAUCAAACCUUGGCUUCAAAUCUUAUAAUUUCCAUUUAUUCUGUUUUACAGAAAUUCCUUUCAGAAAUGAAGUUAGGUCUAGCUUUGACCGUGUGUCUGUUCGUUUUUGAGUCGUCAUCGGCUGAACUCGCCAAAAGUCCACCAGCUGAGGAAAAUCUUCCAUCCUAUGAAGGUAUGUUUUUAUAUUUGCGGUAUUUUAGUUUCAAUAUCAUCAAAAUUUGAUUUAAGUUUUCUUCAGCUAAAUUUAUAGGUUACUUCUUGUAAAAAAAAAAAUAAUCAAACUAAAAUCGAAUGCAAAAUUUUUCUAGAUGUCUGUGCAAAUGCGAAAAUUGUAAAUGGCGUCGGAUACCAGAGACACAACUCCGACUGCGACAAGUUCUUUCAGUGUUAUCAAGGAGAGAAGAUGCAGGAUAGAAUGGCUGUACCCCGUCAGUGUCCGUUCGGUCAGUUCUGGGACCAGAACGUGCCCACUUGUAGAACGGCCAGCGAGGUCAAGUGUGACACGGGUCAGUUGGACACCUUCAAAUUUUAUGACAGAGAAAAUAUCUUGGGAAAAAAAAGAGAAAACUAUCAGAUGUUUGAAAUAUAAAUAUAUCAAGUGCUUUAAGUUGUUUUGGAUAUUAAUAGCUGUUUAGCCUUUAACAUUCAUAUAUAUCCAUUUUUCCCUUUUACGAUUCAUUGUGAAAAUAGGAAUACAUGUAAAUGUAAUUUUUUAUAAUUCUGUCUAACAUGAAACAAACACCAAAUUUCAUUGGUGGAUUACAAAAAAAGAGACUUAUGAGUAUUAAAAACUUCUUUUUGUGAACCUAUGUACAAUAGAUAUAUCACCGUCCUUUUGAUAUGAUUCUUUCAGAUAAGUGCAAUCAUAAACAACUCCUUUCUCACCCAAUGGAUUCCGGGAACUGCCGGUCAUACUGGAAGUGCAAUUUGCAGAAAUCCGUGGGAGACUGUUGUCCAAUGGGACAGAGGUACAAAAAAUACCAGGGCUGCGAGAAGGAUGCGAAAUGUACCGACCCUUGCCCCGGGGACUCCUUCCACCAGGGUCCUUGUGAUAGUCGGCCAAUAUUUGGAGACCGUUCGGUCUUCCAACAGUUUGUAGAGGGUGUAAACUGGCAUAACAUGACUUGUCCAGGUAAUACUCAAUACAGCGCUCUGGCGUGUGGUUGUGUAUACCACAAAGGAUACGAAGGAGGUAAGACCCCCCCCCCC